rnacentral:rRNA from 1 species
UACGUAGGUGACAAGCGUUGUCCGGAUUUACUGGGCGUAAAGAGCGCGCAGGCGGUCGAUCAAGUCGAGUGUGAAAGCCCCCGGCUCAACUGGGGAGGGUCAUUCGAUACUGAUCGACUCGAAGGCAGGAGAGGGUAGUGGAAUUCCCGGUGUAGUGGUGGAAAUGCGUAGAUAUCGGGAGGAACACCAGUGGCGAAGGCGAC